AAAGAGGAGCGCAGACUAACACCACCGCGUCCUGCGGUAACGUCUGCAUGACCCACAUCGUGUGG
rnacentral:sRNA from 1 species